ACGAGCGCACCUUUCGCUCACUCAUUUUCUCUCUGACUCUCUCACUUUUCACUCCUCCACAUUCUCUCUCUCUCUCUUUUUGACUCCACUGCUGCAAAGAACAGACGAGUAAGCUGAAAAUCCACCAAAAACGAAUGACCUUUCCACCUUUACAAGAACAAUGACAAAACGCAUUCACUAAGGGAAAAAAAAACAGUGCCAGACGAGGACAAGGGGGUCAAGAACGUGCCUUACCACAUGGGAAGAUAAAGGAGGAUGUUAAAAAGGGCGAAAAUCCUCACAGCGUUACAGAGAGGUUUGGACCUUAACUCGGUGCUGAAGAAAGCUGCAAACCUCUUCGAUGGACGCGACGGUGUGAGGCAGGUAACCAGUAAGGGACUCGCAAACGGCCGUAAUAGCCCUGGAGGAGGAGGAGAAGGAGGAGGAAAAGAAGCAGAAGGAGGAAAAGGAGAAAACGAUGACAAUGAAAAAGUCCUAAGAGAUGAAGCGUGGAAAGAAAACGGAGGGGAAAAAGGUGGAGGCAGAGGAGGAGGAGGUGGUGGGGGUCCUAAGGUGAAGGAUGAGGACUUUAAGGAUCUUCAGGGCAGCGUGGUUGAGGCCUUGACGGGAGAAGUGACGGAGGAGAAGCACCUGAAGGAUCACCGCCAUCAGGACAUGUACGGCGGUGGUUCCCUCGCGGCUUUCGUCAAGAGGCGGAGGAAAGAGAAGGAACUGAUUGAGCGAUUCGAAUCCAUGGAGGAGUGGGUGAAGGAGCGAGACCCGAGCUUGGCUGACGAACUUGCUCAACUACGGGCUGAACACCUGGGCUACAAGAUGACGUGGUGCAGGCUCAGGUACCACCCCAGACUAUUAAAGGUAUGUACAGGUGCGAAAAGAAAGAAAGAAAGGAAGGUUGAGUGAGGGAGAGAAAGGAAGAGAAGAAAGGAUAGAUGCAAGGGAAGGUCGGAUAAGGAAGAAAAGGGAGUGAAAGGAAAAGGAGAGGAGGAUUAAAGAAUGGAAAAGUGUAAAGGAAUGAGCGGGAGGAAGGGUGAGUGAAGGAGAGAAGUAAGGAAGGAAAGAAAGGAUGGAAUGGAUGCAGGAAGGAUGGAGAAGAAAAUAAAACGAAAAAAAGAUAAAGGAGAAAAGGAGAGGAGGAAUGAAGGAAAGAAGGAAUGGAUGUAAGAGGAAGGAUGAAGGCAGAAGGAUGAAGAAGGGAGAAAUAAGCAUGGAAGAGGGGAAGGAAAGGAAGAAGGGAAUGAUUACAGGAGGAAGAAAGAA